rnacentral:rRNA from 1 species
GACAGAGGUGCCAAGCGUUAGGCGGAAUCACUGGGCUUAAAGCGUGUGUAGGCGGAUCGUUAAGUACCUUGUGAAAUCCCACGGCUCAACCGUGGAACUGCUGGGUAUACUGGCGAUCUUGAGCCACCUAGGGGCGAGCAGAACAAGCGGUGGAGCGGUGAAAUGCGUAGAUAUCGCUUGGAACGCCAAUGGUGAAAACAGCUCGCUGGGGGUGUGCUGACGCUGAGACACGAAAGCCAGGGGAGCGAACGGG